rnacentral:rRNA from 1 species
CUUGACGCUCUGCCACAAGAGAAUUGGGCAUCCCGUCCGCUCUGCCAUACACAAGCUUGAGAUCGGUGGAUUAGUAGUUGGGUGGGUGACCACCAGCGAAUACCCACUGUUGUAUGUU